rnacentral:rRNA from 1 species
AGUGAACGCUGGCGGCAGGCCUAAUACAUGCAAGUCGAACGGCAGCACAGCAGAGCUUGCUCUGUGGGUGGCGAGUGGCGGACGGGUGAGGAAUACGUGGGAAUCUGCCCAGUCGUGGGGGAUAACGUAGGGAAACUUACGCUAAUACCGCAUGCGCCCUUCGGGGGAAAGCCGGGGACCUUCGGGCCUGGCGCGAUUGGAUGAGCCCACGUCGGAUUAGCUAGUUGGCGGGGUAAAGGCCCACCAAGGCGACGAUCCGUAGCUGGUCUGAGAGGAUGAUCAGCCACACUGGAACUGAGACACGGUCCAGACUCCUACGGGAGGCAGCAGUAGGGAAUAUUGGACAAUGGGCGCAAGCCUGAUCCAGCCAUGCCGCGUGAGUGAAGAAGGCCCUCGGGUUGUAAAGCUCUUUUGUCCGGAAAGAAAGCGCCGGGUUAAUACCCUGGUGUCCUGACGGUACCGGAAGAACUAAGCACCGGCUAACUUCGUGCCAGCAGCCG